GAUCAUGGCUCAGGACGAACGCUGGCGGCGCGCCUAACACAUGCAAGUCGAACGGAGCUACUUUGAUAGAUCUCUUCGGAGUGACAUUGAUUUAGCUUAGUGGCGAACGGGUGAGUAACACGUGAGGAACCUGCCUUUCAGAGGGGGACAACAGUUGGAAACGACUGCUAAUACCGCAUAAGACCACGAUACGGCAUCGUAUUGAGGUCAAAGGAGCAAUCCG
rnacentral:rRNA from 1 species